AGUGAACGCUGGCGGUAGGCCUAACACAUGCAAGUCGAACGGCAGCACAGUAAGAGCUUGCCCUUACGGGUGGCGGGUGGCGGACGGGUGAGGCAUACAUCAGAAUCUACUUUUUCGGGGGGGAUAACGUAGGGAAACUUACGCUAAUACCGCAUACGACCUACGGGUGAAAGCAGGAGAUCUUCGGACCUUGCGCGUUUGAAUGAGACGAUGUCGGAUUAGCUAGUUGGCGGGGUAAAGGCACACCAAGGCGACGAUGCGUAGCGGGUCUGAGAGGAUGAUCAGCCACACUGGAACUGAGACACGGUCCAGACUCCUACGGGAGGCAGCAGUGGGGAAUAUUGGACAAUGGGCGCAAGCCUGAUCGAGCCAUACCGCGUGGGUGAAGAAGGCCUUCGGGUUGUAAAGCCCUGUUGUUGGGAAAGAAAAGCAGCAUGAUAAUACCUCGCUGUUCUGACGGUACCCAAAGAAUAAGCACCGGCUAACUUCGUG
rnacentral:rRNA from 1 species